UUAUAUUACCGAAAGAGAAAUCUUUGUCAGGUCGAUAGUUAGAUUACGAUUUUAUUAAUUAAGCGUGCUACUUUGUACGCCGUACUAACUGGGAAAGAGCCGUAUGGCUCUUUUUCAUUUUUUU
rnacentral:ncRNA from 12 species